UACGUAGGGUGCAAGCGUUAAUCGGAAUUACUGGGCGUAAAGCGUGCGCAGGCGGUGAUGUAAGACAGUUGUGAAAAUCCCCGGGCUCAACCCGGGAACUGCGUCUGAUACUGGAAGGCUUGAAUCCGGGAGAGGGAUGCGGAAUUCCAGGUGUAGCGGUGAAAUGCGUAGAUAUCUGGAGGAACACCGGUGGCGAAGGCGGCAUCCUGGACCGGUAUUGACACUGAGGCGCGAAAGCCAGGGGAGCAAACGGGG
rnacentral:rRNA from 1 species